AUUCAAGUGCAUGAAAAACAGUACAUCCAUAAUGUAACUGACCUUGAAUUUCUGGCUUUAAAGGUUGAAGCACCAGUCAGUGCUCUGAUUGCAGUUGUAUACAGACCUCCAGACUACACUCUGAGGCCAUUCCUGAAAAACCUGGUAAGCCUAUUAGACUCAUUAGAGAUCAUGGACUGUCAUCCCAUCAUAGUGUGUGGUGAUUUUAAUGAGAAUGUUUUAUCCAGUGCAAACAAACCAAUCCUGGAGCUGUUUGAGUCUAGGGGAUACGCACAGGUCAUCACUGCCCCUACCACAGAGAAGAACACACUGCUUGACCUAAUUUUCAUUUCUCAGCCAGAGCGAUGUCUCCAUUCUGGAGUUAUGAAGACCUACCAUAGUUACCAUGACCCUGUAUACUGUGUAUUGUCCUGUGAUGAUUCAUGAUCUAGAUCUUUGACUACAAGCUGAGACACUCAGGACUGAACAGACUGCACAGUUUCUGUGACUGAGCCUCCAAAACACCUUCUUUGAAACCACACAUGAUAGAAGGGCAUUAUAUUUGCAGCAGCACUACUAAAGGUAUUCAGUUUAUUACAGGAUGUGUUUGUUUCUUAGGACCAGCUCUAAGUGCACACUACCUAACAUAUAGACCUUUCUGUUCAUUACAAACCAACUACUCUGGAUCAUAUGGCCAGUUGGCAGGAAUGUUGCUGCAGGAAAACAUCCCUGCAGAUCACCACCAUUGUCACACUGACUGUGCCUCCUCUGUGCAGUGUCAAGAUCCUCCUUAAAUGAGUGUUCCUCAGCUAUCCUGCUUCUGUGCUGCUUGCCACACAUCAAACACUGGCCGGAUGACAGGGAGGAUCCACUCUGAAGUCACUGGACAUGAUGAGCAUCAUCUGGGACUUUAUAGUUUCACAGAAACAUUGUGCUCUUUGAUUACAGG